UCAAAAAACUUUAGACAAUUUACAAAAAAUAAAGAUAUUGAUAUUUUUAUCAAGUUAGAAAUAAAUACUUUUAAAAAUAAAACACAGCAGUUGAUCAAUAUUGGAAAAAAUGGAUUCUUUGUCUGGAGUGACUUUAUUCAAAGUUGAUGGCUCUAGUGGCUUAGCAGACAACAUACUUAGUGAAAAGGAAUUUGUGCUUUAUUAUUUCUCAGCUCAUUGGUGUCCUCCUUGCAGAGAGUUUACACCUGUGUUAAAAGAAUUUUAUGAAGUUGUAAACGAUUCUGGUGUAGAAGUUAUAUUCAUAUCUUCUGAUGAAACCCACGAAGAUAUGAUAAACUACAUGAAGGAAGCUCAUGGUGAUUGGUAUUGUGUGGAAUAUGAAUCUGAUUUAGUGUAUCAACUAAAGGAAAAAUUUGAUGUCAACUCAAUACCUAAAUUGAUUGUUUGUAGAAAGGAUGGGUCUCUUGUUACGGCCAAUGGUCGUAAUGAUGUCUCUGAAAAAGAACCAUCAACAGCCGUUGCUGAUUGGAGAAAUUAAAGUUUAUUUUUUAAGCCCAUUUUAGGCGCCUGUAUUUUAGAAACGUACUCUUAAAGUAUUUCUAAAAUGCAAAUUAAUAGUUAAAUGUAAAAAAAAAUAAAUGUUACAAAGUAUUCUUGAAUUAUAUUAUUCUAUGCAUAAUUUGUAAAUUAAUUAUUUAAAAAAUGUACUUCGUGUAUUUGCAACAGUUUGUAAAGUAAAUAACUUAAAAGUGAUGUAAAGUUUUUAAGAAGAAAAAUUUGCGUUUGAGCACUAACUUA